UUCCCUCCUAGAAUUUAUGGUUUCCCACUUUCCCUCCCGUACCCGCUAAACCUUUUUCCCAAUUUUUUUUUUCAAUUUCCAUCAAAACUGCUCCCGUUCUUGAUUCCAAACCCUAACCGUGUCAUUUCAUUCCACAACUUCUUUCCAGAGAAAGAAACUGCAGAUUCCUUUUUGCAGUGAAGAUGCAUAAACCAUAGACGAACAACAUGCUUGUUCUUUACAAUAUGGAAUCCGGACAACAUGCUCGCGAAAUCCCCACUUAAUCCGACCACAUUAAGCUCCAAUCCGUCAAGGAAAAGUAAAUUGAUUAUUCAAGUUCGUAGAAAAGUUUGGUACAAGUGUUGAAGUAUCCAUAAUGAUGCAACAAAAAAGAAACAAUGUAGGGCAUCAAAUGACCAUUGGUGACUAAUUGAAAAAAAGCAAAGUAAGGUAUCAGAAACAAAAUACAAAAAAGCUAAAAAGUAGCAAAGGGGGAUCAAAGAAUUGAUUGGUUCUUGUUGACGAGGAUGAUGGGAUAUUUCAAGGUAUCAGUUUGUGAGAUUUUAAGACAAAAUAAAUGACAAACUACAAACCUUCAAGCGGGAGCCUUGAAAUUGAAAAACACAUAGUUGCUUGAAAUGUGAAAAGAAAAUGAAGACUACCAGCAAAGGAAAAAAUCUGAGCUAGAAACUAGGCGGAAAAAUUUUCACAGCCAACAUGCAAACUCUGAAGCUACGAUACGUCAUACUGUGAAAAACUACGUAUUAGAGUACUUUGGAAUCUUAGAGAUGAGUAGAAGGUUUUCGUUACUUUUAUUCAUUGUAAUUGACAGCUAUAUUUUAAUUACAUUGUUACUUUGAGGUUG